rnacentral:misc_RNA from 1 species
CGCACCUUGCGCUCUUUGGUAUUCCAUAGAGCAUGCCUGUUUGAGUGUCAUUAAAAUCUCAACUCUUCCGAUGGUUUUUCUACAAAACUGUUGGUUAAGAGCUUUGGAUAUGAGGGUUAUUGCCGGCUUCAUAGUCUAAGUGCGGCUCCCUUGAAACAUAUUAGUGCGCAGCUCUGCUAGUUGGCUUCAGGUGUGAUAGUCUAUCUACGCCUUGGUUGACGUGCAUGAUUAAGUGCUUCUAACAGUCUCUUGACCGAGACAAUAAUUUUUGAUACUUGACCUCAAAUCAGGUAGGACUACCCGCUGAACUUAA